UAAACUCGGGCCCUGGGCCCCCUCACUGACCCCUCACUAGCAGGGGUCAUGGCCAAACCCCGGGUUUCCUGGUUCUCGUGAACCAGCUGCCUGGCCGGCUGCCGGCUCUUCUGAGUCAGCCCAGGACAAUCACUCACCCCUCCAGACCCAGGAAGCCGGAGCAGAGAACCCAGCGCCGGCGCCUGCCAGCAGAGGAGGAGUUACUGGAGUUCAAGUUCUUGAAAUGAUGCCUGCUUUGUAAGGAACGCAGGGUGGUCGGAUGGCAUCACUGACUCGAUGGCCGGGAGCCUGAGCAAGCUCCGGGAGGUGGGGAUGGACAGGGAGGCCUGGCAUGCUACGGUCCCGGGGUUGCAGAGAGUCGGACACGACUGAGCGGCUGAGCUGACCCGCGAGGCCAGGCCAGCAGGGGUGGUGGCGUUGACAGCAGGGAGAGCGGGGAGAGUCACAGAGGUGGCGGCAGGGGCGGAGCGGCAGGGGCGGAGCGGCAGCUGAGACGCCAGCACAGUGGUCGUCGCGGCGGAGACGUUCUGGCGCUAACGGCACCGGUCGGGGCGGUGAUGGUGGGAGCGCUGGUCUCGGCAGGAGGACUCACUAGAGAUGCUCAGCUGCAGGUAACAACAACUCCCGGUGAAGCUCUCCGUCUCAGAGGACACGGCCGUGCGUCCCGGCCAGCUCUGAUGCUGGAGGGCAGCGUGCCGGGCCGUGGGCGAGGGGAGGAGGGAUGGCCCGUGCCCUGCCCUCCCUGUGGUCCGCGUGGCCCUAUAACGGUUCCAGCAGCUGAACCAGCGGAUGCGGCCGUCCCACAGUCUCGAGGACUGAAGGCUGAGUCCAGGCGAGGCAGGCGGGGUCCCCGAGGCCUCUCUCCUGGGCAUGCAGACGGCCGUCUGCUGCUCGUGUCCUCACUGGAUUGUCUCUCUGUGUGUAUCUGUGUCCAGAUCUCCACCUUAUAAGGACACCCCAGUGCAUUACGGCCCAUCCUAAUGACCUCAUUUUACCUUACUUACUUCUUCAAGGCCUCGACUCUAAAUGCAGUCAAGGCUCUGAAGAUGCCAAGCUGUGGGUUCCAGGGUUCAGGCUUCCAUCUGUAGCAUCGUCUUCAUCAGCCCCAGGUAGGGAACAGCCAGUGGGGUCAGCAUCCUCUGAGAUCGGGGAUGGGGAGGGGUAGGUACUUGAAUAAAACCAAGGUUAUCUGAGGAAGGAAAAGAGGAUAAUGAUGACUGUGUAGCCAAAAGUGUUGAUCUCUCUGGUUUUCACUGUUUCCCCCUUAAUUCUGGGGCUUUAAAACCAGAGUGCCUGCACGUCAGCGCACAGGCCUGGCCACCGCCCCCUGGAGAGAGGGUAGCGCUGAGGCUGAACCCUGGUGGGAAUCCCCGUUCCACUUGCCCCCCCAGGAUGUGCACAUUCCAGCAGGACACUGAGGCUUUCUUCCGGAGCCGUGAGCCCAGGGAAGUGGGCAGAGGGCCUGUUUCCCCAGCCUUGUCCCCCAGAGGACUGACAGCCUCUGUCUAACUCUGAAGCUCACAACACAUCCAUCCGCUCCAACCCAAGGCCCAUGAAGGGGAAUCUGUCUUCUGCAACCUGGCACAUGGCUUUGCAGACACUGCCAAGACGUCCAGACCCUGGAGGAACCGUGGGCCAGAAGCACAUUUCGGCUGCCAAGUGCUGGGGGGGUGGUAAUGGGGACCAACCAAGGCCUACAGACCAACCAAAGAUGCCCAUGUGGGGGUCAGCGGGACACAGGAAAUGCAAUCGGAGAAAGCAGAUGAUGUGUGACCUUCCUUAAAUUCUAUCACAAACGUUCCCGUGUCCAUAAAGCCCUUGCAGGAGUCUUGGAGAAAAGAUACUUGCCAAGUGAAUCCACCUUUAGAGGAUCUGGGGCUUCUUCACAGACACAUUCAAAUAUUGACACAUGGAGGACGAGAAACCACGGCCCCUGGGGCUCUCUCCUCCUGAGUCACCACGUCCAAUGAGGCUGAAGACUCAGGAAAGCAUGCAGACCAGGCUCGGAGAUCCAGGACGGGGGUGCAGAGGCCCUUGUGGAACGGUAAAGAUCCGGCCUGCAGUGUGGGAGAGCAGCAGGGCUGGGCUGGGCAGACCCCCUGGAGCAGGAAACGGCAACCCCCUCCAGUGUUCUGGCCUGGAGAAUUCCAUGGGCAGUGUUAACUGAUUUUUGGCAACCUCGCAUUCCUGGGAUAAGCUGAUUUUUAACUGCGGGUUAGAUCAUCUUUACAGAAGAUUGUUUUCGCUUUCAUCUGUUUUAUCCAGUGCUAAUACCAGCAUGUGCUGUUGAAUCUAACAUUCCUUUAAUGUUACAGUAAGCAUCGCAAACAAGACUUAUGAAGAAAGAGAAGGCCGGUCAGCUGGACCCAGGGAGACAAGUGGAUAAAAUGAGAGAGCGGUGGUCAUCCCGAAUUUGGCAACGGAAGGAUUAGACUGAGACACAAUAUUUGUCAAAAUGUAAAGUAUUUUGCAAAUGAAAUUUGUAAAGGUUGCAUCAAGUUAGAGAAUAUGUUUCUAGGAAAAAAUACAAGUGUCAUGGAUAUAUAAUUAAUUCUGACAAAUUAUCUUUAAUUUAGUUGAAGUUUCGACCAUGUCAGUAACAAUGUCUCAAACAACCUGUUUCAAGUGUUAUUUUCUCCAGGGUGGAUAAUAUAAAAUGCUUUGCAGAGGUUCAUCUGACCAUCCAGUCUUAGAAACAUCUCAAUAUCAGGGUGCCGUGUCCCCUGCAAAAGAAGGGAAGAUUUUGCAACCAAGUGGGAGGUGGGUUGGAAAGGAAAGACCAGGCUUUGUUAGUCCUACCCCAUGGGGGCAACUGAAGAGCUACUGGGAUUUGUGAAACUGUGAUUUAUAAAGCCAGCUGCUUGAUGGCACGCACCCCCUCCAGGAAAAUCGCAUGUAACGCUGAACCCCUCCCCGCCGCCACUUUGGAAGAGCUCCUCCGAGUUAGCUGAGAUGCUGUCUUCCAGGCUAUAUACGCCUCAUUUUGCCCCAAAUAAAACUUAAAUCUCACCUCUCACAUUGUGCAUUGAUUUUAGCCGACAAUAAUAUGGCUUCCCCUGGUGGCUCAGAUGGUACAGAACUGCCUGCAUUCAGGAGACCCAGCUUCAAUCCCUGGGUCAGGAAGGU